ensembl:snoRNA
CUACAAUGAUAGUUAAUAUUUUCCAUCAGUAGCAAUUCACCUAGUGAGUGUUGAUACCUGACCUGUGGUUAA